CCUUAAGGGUCCGCUUGCCCCCUGCGGGACCUCCUCCUUCUCCCCUUCUCGCCCCUUUCGUUAGGGGGCGGAAAAGUUUGCUAAGUGGCGGCACCUCCAGAGUCCCCGGCAAGCGCGGAGGGAGCUAGGCAGCCCAGUGCCCCAGGGUCCGAACACCCCGCGCCCACCUGGGCGCGCGGGGGCACCGCGAGGUACCCGCCGCGCGUCGGCCGGUCUGCGAAGUUUGCUCCGCUCAGCUUCCGAGGCGCAGGAACGGGGCGCGGCUCCGAGAGGGCAGGCCUGCAGCGCAGCUACCUCGGGGACGGCCAGGCAACGGCGCGGCAGCGGCCGGCCAGCAAGCUCCUCCGGGGGCGGCGGGCGCGGCGUCGGCGGCGGGAGGGGUCCCUCGGGCUCGCACAACCUCGGGGCGGGGGCGGGGGCGGGCGCAGCAGCCGAGGUCCUGGCCCUCUCGAGUCCCGGUGUCCGAGGAGGCGACGGCGGUGCUGGUCUGCCCGGGGCGCUGUCUGCGUGUGCGCCGGAGGAGCCCGAGGGAAAACGAAAGGGGACUUCAGAGACACGUUACUCCAAAUCCCUUGUUUUACCGAUGGAAAAACGUCCAACUGCAAAGGAUCGCCUGCCGGCAUCUCACCGUAACUCUCAUCCUGAACCAGCCCUUGACCCCUUCCUGGGCAUCUGGCCAGCUCUCCUCCGAGAGCCCCGCUGCUCUCUGAGCCGAAGUUCACGCAGCCAGAAUAGCCCCAAACCAGACCCCAUGUUCCAUUCUUCCCUUUCAGCCCCCUUCAAACUACAAUGGCUCUUGGAAUGAAGAGCGAGGGAGUGGGCCUCGGGGCGGGAUCUGGGCGUGGAGGAGCAGGAUUUCCUGGUCUGGCCAUGCACACCCGCGCUGCACUCACUCCCACCCUGUGUCUUGACUGCGGGUGGACUGGGGGCUCCUCGGAGCAGAACCUGGGUCUCGACCAUCUAGCAGCCAUCAGUGGUUCUAAGAGGUCUAAUUGCAGCCCCGCCCAGAAGGAGAUGCGGGGCUCGGGGUGGGGGUGGGGGGAGCCAGUCAGAGCCUGGGAUUUUCCAGGCCACAGGAUUGGCUGGGCUUAGCUCACACACCCACCUCCGAACCAUGGACAGCUCUUCCCCCUCUUUCCAGCCAGAGCUGGAAAAUGAUAGAUGUCACCCCGGGGGCAUCUCCUGGACUUUGGGAAAGCAUCUCCUUAGAGGCCCUGGGCAGAGCUGAGAGGUGAAGGAAAGGAAGGUGGCUUUUGGAAUGCUGCGGGCACGGCCACCCAACUUGGCUGACCAAACUCAUUCUUUCUUUGGCUUAGGUCACUAAGUUGGUCUUAAGCCUGCCCAGUGCCCAAGGGCCCGAGAACUGAGUUGGCAGCCUGUCUGUGGGCCCCCUUUCCCAGGGCCAGUCCCUGUGCUACCUAGACCUCAGUUUCCUCGUCACUAAAAACAGGUGCAUCAUAUUAGCUAAUAAAGGACAUCAUUGUUUUAUAACA